ACGCAGGUCGUUUUGGAAGGAAAGUACAUUUAAACCGCGAGCUGGAAGCAGUCAGGCUGAACCGCCACGAAGCACCGAGUCUAGAUUCCAAUCCCCAACUCGCGUUGAAAACAAAAGCGAGUCAAUAUCCGUGUAGCCGGGACAGGUAUGGUGUAAGUCUGGGACUCACAGGAUGAACAAUAUUUCAAAUUCAUCCAAAACGAGAAAACGCCAACGAGACGAAGACAUCGAAGCUGAAAGCAGCCGCGAUGAUUCUACUUUUUCACUCGAGGAGAGUCUUACUUUUAGUGACACUUUGGUGGCGCUUCGCAUAAUCCGAGCUCAGUUCCCGCACAUUGACAAGGUCUCAAUUCAACCGUUCAUUUUAAAAUCGCAAUUAUACAGUAGUGUAGAGGACAGAACACAAGUGGAUAGAGAAUUAGAGUCUCUGAGGAGGGAGAAAGUAUUGCGCGUUUUCAAACUAAAUACGGGACAAGAUGAUCAUGCUAUAAUGUUUUUGGAUGACUAUCUGAAUCAGAUAGAGCGUGCUGUGAAAAGAAUUAAAGAAAAGAAGCAGGGCGAUGUUGAAGUUUUUGAGUGGUUUAGAGAACAUGUCAUUGAUUCCAAGCUUGAGCCUAGUGUUGAGCAUCAAGAGCUAUGUUCACUCCUAUCACUUGGUGGAAAGGUGAAGGAUGAGCACAUCUCCCUAUUGAUUAAUGCUGGACUUCUUAGGGAAAUACAGGAAUUUUCCGGGAGAGUACAUGGAGUUUUGUCCUUCUACAUCUAUCCCAAAUGUGCCUCAUAUUGCUUAAGCUUUCCAACAGUCUGGUUAUAUCAUACAACCGUAACUAGACUUAUUUAUUACUCGCCAACUAAUUGAUCCAAACAUGUACUGGUUUGCAAUUCCUAAUAUUGGUUCAGUACUGAAGGGCCUUUCUCAGGGAAGAAAGGAACUUCUUUCUUUACUAAACCGCAGAAGAUACAAAGAGAUGAUGUUGGCUCCUCUAGAGAAGAAGCGACUUCGAUUCUCUCCACUGGAUAUGAGAUUUCACCUUCGUGACUUGAUUGGAUCUGGUAACCUCAAAACCAGUCAUGCACCAACUGGUUUAGUUGUUCGGGUUUUAAAAGACUAAACAUAGGAAGAUACCAGUUCCUAUUGGUUUGUGAUAUUCCUCUUUUGCCUGUCAAUCAUGAGAAGAGGUUUCACUUGCUCAUUCUUUAAGAAUAAUUAGCUUUGAUUCAUUUUAUAAAUUAACACUUAAACGUGUACAAUGCUUCUUGAGGUUGACAAACUGAGAUCCAAAAAUGGAUUUCAGGCGAUCAUCUGCAUCAGCAUCAUGAAGGUAAGAUGGUGCGAGUGUCUUUUUUUCUCUUUCUGGGUCUUGUAUCAUUUAUUAUUUGUUACUUUGAUUAUUUAGAACCAAGUUGUAACUUCUCAAUGUUUAAUUGAAACUCUGGGAGAUUCAACAAUAAAAGCACUUCAGGUCAUUUAUGCAGCA